rnacentral:rRNA from 1 species
UACGUAGGCAGCGAGCGUUGUUCGGAGUUACUGGGCGUAAAGGGUGUGUAGGCGGUUGUUUAAGUUUGGUGUGAAAUCUCCCGGCUCAACUGGGAGGGUGCGCCGAAUACUGAAUGACUUCGAGUGCGGGAGAGGAGAGUGGAAUUCCUGGUGUAGCGGUGAAAUGCGUAGAUAUCAGGAGGAACACCGGUGGCGAAGGCGGGUCUCUGGGCAGUAACUGACGCUCAUGCACGAAAGCGUGGGGAGCAAACAGG